UUCGAUUCUGGCUCAGGAUGAACGCUGGCGGCGUGCUUAACACAUGCAAGUCGAACGAAGAUAUUUAGAAUGAGAGCUUCGGCAGGAUUUUAUCUAUUCUUAGUGGCGGACGGGUGAGUAACGCGUGGGCAACCUGCCCUUUACUGGGGAAUAAUCAUUGGAAACGAUGACUAAUACCGCAUGUCACCGAGGACUGGCAUCUUUCCUCGGAAAAAGGAGCAAUCCGGUAAAGGAUGGGCCCGCGUCUGAUUAGCUAGUUGGUGGGGUAACGGCCUACCAAGGCGACGAUCAGUAGCCGACCUGAGAGGGUGAUCGGCCACAUUGGGACUGAGACACGGCCCAAACUCCUACGGGAGGCAGCAGUGGGGAAUAUUGGGCAAUGGGCGAAAGCCUCGACCCAGCAACGCCGCGUGAAGGAAGAAGGUCUUCGGAUUGUAAACUUCUUUUAUGAGGGACGAAGGACGUGACGGUACCUCAUGAAUAAGCCACGGCUAACUACGUGCCAGCAGCUGC
rnacentral:rRNA from 1 species